AAAAAAAAGAAAGAAAAAGAAAAUGAGAUAACUUACUUCCUCAAUUUUCCCCCUCCCAGCAACCCUCAAAUUUCUAUUUUAAUUGAUUUAAAAUUACUAUCUAGUGUAUUAGUAAAUUUUUUCACACUUCGUUAGUGAAAAAAAAAAGAAUUUUAAAAAACCAACCUGAAAUAUUAGACUUUUUACCUGUAACUGGGUCUGAACAAUCUAGUUCUCAUAAAGCAGAAAAAACCGAAACUUGUGGAAGCAAGCAGCUUAUUAUCAUGAAGAAGACUUCAGCCUUCCAGUUUCUGGAUGAAACUAGGGGCAGUAAUAUUAGAAACCCGAGUGGACCCUUUGCCUGAGAAACAUGUUCAUCUCUUAGUAAUUUGGACUAGAGAGCAUGCAAAAUAUGCAUCAAUAUAAAAUCAACUAACACAGAUUCCAGGGUCACAAGCCCAAAUAACAGUAAGAUCUGUAAAUAUCAAGGAAAACGUAGAUUUAAAAUUUCAGAUCAGAUUCAUUCCUCCACUCACAGCUUAUACAUAUUGUGGUCAGAAGCUGGAAGUAAGCCUAUGCUCUAAUUAACUCUGCUCUGGGAGGCGAGGCUCUCACGAGAGAGAGGAGAGAGAUGGGGGUGGGGGGUGGAGAGGAUUGGGAGCACUUCAGAGAAAAGAUCUGAGAGAAAAGCCUGGGACUCUGCCACCCAGCUCCCUGGCCCCUGGGAGAAGCCAUGGCAGAUAUUUGGGAUGAGGCAGCAUGCUGGUCCCUCAGCAGCAUCCUUAUCACGUCAGCUGUGAGAGAAAUAAAACUGUGAGACUGUGAAGUGUAUAAAGGAUUCUACCGCUCUCCCGGGGCUUGGAGACCCACAGAUUGGAGAAAGUAAGUGAGUGUCUUUCUGACCAUUGAAUCCCUCACUCUCACUGCGAGUUAGAAAGCUCUAAGGACUUUAAUGAAACCAGUCUGCACGUCCUAAAAAGUACUGAAACAGCUGGAGAGACAGCGCCACCUCGUGUCCACCUAAAAAAACUCCCUGGCAAUCAUCUUUGCGGAAAUUGGCCCCAGUAACUUCCAUGAAAUAGGGCAAAGAAAAUAAAUCCAUCAAAGCUGACUGGAUAACAGAGAGAAAUGCCAGCUGAAAGCAUUUUUGACUGUUGAUGACUUCAAAAGCCAGGAAACUUAAUCCUAGCCUUAUGUUUCUUUCUCCGUGCCCAAAAGGCAGCCGAGCUCGUCACUAAACCAGCGGAGGUGAAACAGCUUAGGAGACUGUGGCUCCUGGAGUUGAACACAAUCAGGGGAGAGGAGUGCUCUGCUCUCCUCAUGCCGCUUGCAGUCUCCUGAAGUCCUUGCCACCGAGGGAGCUUCACUAGCAAUUACACUCCUGACCACCCGAUGCCCCUCUGGCUCCUCUUAGAAGAGGAGAGGAGUGAUUUCAUCACCUGGUGAGUUCCUAAGGAGAACAGGGUUUGUGCAGCGCAGUCCCCAAUGCCCUGCCCCCUACAGGAGUGAGGCCACCUGCAGACAGCCUGCAUCUGGUGCACCUGUUCCUUCUCCCCAUCUGUACAUUUCACGGGGCCACUCCGUCCCUGUGCUGCAGAGGAAUGGGUGGGGGAGGCUGUCCAAUCUGGAGGCUCAGGGGUGGAGAAGCCCACCCCACAGAUAGAAACCAUGACCUCCACCAUCAACCCUGUCAGUAAUGAAGGUAUUUUCAUUUCCCACCUCUCUUGCUGCAGACCUUUCAUGUGUUCUUCACUGGGACACCUUGAACUCUUAACACUUAGGAAAACAUUUUUUUUCUAAUCCAGAGCAGAAAGUUUGGAAGUUUAAAUUCUAGCUUCACAUGAUUCAACCCCAAAUGAGGUUUUUUUUUUUUUCUUUUUUAAUUCGAACCAAUUUGCUGCGAUGUAGAGAAUGUUCUGGAUUGGCGAUCAGAAGGUACGGGCUCUACACAGGGCUUGGAGCUUUCCAGCUUUGCAGCUUUGAGUGAGAACCUGCUCUAGGCUUCGGUUUCCCCAUCAUGGCUUCUGUGAUUCCAGGAUCAAGAGUUGGCCAUUUAGAGGUACCAAGAAGAGGUGAUGCUCACUUUUUAAGUCCUUCAUCUACUUGAAAUGAGCUACUGCUUGUUUAACUUUUCUCUUUUUGGAAAAGUUAAUGCUUUUUCCAGAGACAGCAAAUUCAUGGAGCAUUUGUCUAGGACUCCCCCCCAAUCCCU
rnacentral:lncRNA from 10 species